GUGUGUCGCUCGAUCCGGCCGUGCGCCGGCAGCCGGCCCAUGCAUGCAUGUGCCUUUCUUCUCCACCGUGCACACCUCGCCUGCGUGUGCUCGCCCGUAUGUGGUGGUGUCAGCUGUGCGUGAUAUCAGAAGCUAGCUAGCCAUCGACACGGUCCGCCGAGCUUGCAGCUCCACACGGCAAGAAGCUAGCCGCGGUUAUUUGGUGUUUUGGAAGCAGACCGCAGUCUGCAGCCAGGUAUGAAACUGCAGCAUAUGGCUUCAUUUUCGACAAUACCACUCUUCUUAAUUUGUCCGUGCCGAUAUAUAUGUUCUUCUCCAUCUUUUCAAACUCUGAAAGAAAAACAUUUUAUGCUAGUACUCCAUCUGUUCCUAAAUAUAACUCUUUUUAGAGAUUCCACUACAUACUACAUACAGAGUAAAAUGAGUGAAUCUACACUCUAAACAUGUCUACCUUCAACUUCGACUAUGCUAGUUUUUGUUUGCCGGGAAUGCGAGGCCUCGCUGUUUAUCUGUUGAUCACUAAAUGUAAUGCAUAGACCUUUGACAAGGAUAAUUGAAGAACUGUUAUUCUUCUACCUUUUCGAAAAAAGGACUAUACAUACGUGAGCAAAUUUCUUGAACUGCUGGUUGUGUUUGCUACACUCCAUACACUUUUCUUGGGAUGAUUUUGUGACGAUAGUUGCUGAGAUGCCGGUUCAGUAGUGUUGUUGCAGGUCUUAUCAUCUUUUCCUCUAUUUAUUUUUCUUUUCUUUUCUUUUCUUGUAAGCCUAUCGAUUUUUAUACUGUUACACUUGCAGUUCAUGUAGCCUGAUCGAUGCCCGGCUGAUAUUUUAAUGUUUGCAGAAAUAUAUGUUCAGGUGGGCCCUUUGACCUUGCUGGUUCUUCAGUUCACAAAAGAUACCAAAGUAGUGUAUACUUCAAAGCCACUUUGCAUAUAUCUUUGAAAUGAAUUGUUGCUUUGCAUAUCUUGUCUAAAUUGGCAAUGAGGCCGCUCCCACAACCUGAUUAGUUGUCGUAUGUUUCGUUGUUCCUGGGAUAUCUAAUCCCUACCUAUGUAACUGAACUUCCUUUGCUCAUCCUCUGAAAUGCAUUGGCAGUACAGCUGCUUUUUCCCCAAAGAAAACAUUCUCUUUUGAUUGUAAUUAAAUUUCUACAUCAAGUACUCCCUCUGUUCCUAAAUAUAAGUCUUUGUAGAGAUUUCAAUAUGCACUACAUAUAGAUGUAUAUAAACAUAUUUUAG
rnacentral:lncRNA from 1 species